CUGUUGUACAGUAUGUAACGUAUCACUUAAAUCAGCCUCUGUACCAGAUAUUCAGAGGAUGGCUAAUGUAAUGCCAAUUUUAAGAAAAGGAUUCAGAGCUUAUCCUGGUAAUUACAGGCUAGUAAGCCUAACAUCAGUGCCAAGCAAACUGGUCAAAACUACAGUAAAGAACAGAAUUAUCACAGAUGAACACAACAGGUUGGAAAAAGUCAACAUGGCUUUGUAAAGGGAAAUUAUGCCUCACCAAUCUAUUAGACUUCUUUGAGGGAAUCAACAAGCAUCUGGACAAGGGUGAUCCAGUGGAUAUAAUGUACUUGGACUUUCAGUAAGCCUUUGACAAGGUUCUACACCAAAGGCUCUUAAACAAAGUAAUCAGU